UGUAAUUCAAAACAAAGGGGUCAAAUAAUCCGUACUUUGGACAUGGUUUCACAAGUUAUACCUUGCAUCUUCUUAAGUUUCAUUGGAAAGGUAGGACAGAUUGCUUUGAUACAGACAAAACAGAACCAUGUUUAAGUCUCUUAUACACAUAUAUGUUUCUAUAUACCGGUUUAUGUACUAAAUAUGCCGUUUUUAAUUCAAGUUUAGUUUCAGUAUUAGUUAAGUUCUCUACCACUCCUACUCUAAGAUGUGUAUACAAUUAGUUGGGUUAGCCAACGCCAAGCAAAUGUGCUAGCGAAGCAUUUCAUCAAGAAUUCGGUCUUCGUUGGGGACAAAAAAUGUUCUGAAAGGCCAUAUUGCAGUAUAUGUGGGGGAAACCAGCAAGAGCAGAUUCAUGAUUCCUAUUUCUGACUUGAAUCAUCUUCUAUUUGAAGGCCUAUUAAAUCUGGCUGAGGCAGAAUUCCCAAGUGCCACAAAGUAUGAAGUAGGCUCUCCUACUUUGAGGAGACCUUAGGCAAGCGCCCUUCCCAAGUGCAAUAGAAGUCACUUACCUAGGCCAUCGGCCAUGAUGAUCACCUAUCGACCCUGUCCAGAAAUGUUGGGGUUAAGAGUAAUUUAUCCGGAUAAAAUAUGAAGCUCUAUUAGAAGCUAAAGCAACAAAGCAAUAAAUCGGGAUGAGGAAUAAAAGAAGUUUGAACUUCAAAGACUUGAGACUUGCAGAGAGAAACUACCAACAAAGCAGAAAUUUGUUUAGAAGAAAUGAAUUUUUCCUUAUUUUUCAUUUCAUUCAGCUAAAUUAUGUGAUACAAUAGAAUAAGACAGUUACCUAA